rnacentral:rRNA from 1 species
GGGUUGUGAGGUUAAGCGACUAAGCGUACACGGUGGAUGCCCUGGCAGUCAGAGGCGAUGAAGGACGUGCUAAUCUGCGAUAAGCGUCGGUAAGGUGAUAUGAACCGUUAUAACCGGCGAUUUCCGAAUGGGGAAACCCAGUGUGAUUCGUCACACUAUCAUUAACUGAAUCCAUAGGUUAAUGAGGCGAACCGGGGGAACUGAAACAUCUAAGUACCCCGAGGAAAAGAAAUCAACCGAGAUUCCCCCAGUAGCGGCGAGCGAACGGGGAGCAGCCCAGAGCCUGAAUCAGUGUGUGUGUUAGUGGAAGCGUCUGGAAAGGCGCGCGAUACAGGGUGACAGCCCCGUACACAAAAAUGCACAUGCUGUGAGCUCGAUGAGUAGGGCGGGACACGUGGUAUCCUGUCUGAAUAUGGGGGGACCAUCCUCCAAGGCUAAAUACUCCUGACUGACCGAUAGUGAACCAGUACCGUGAGGGAAAGGCGAAAAGAACCCCGGCGAGGGGAGUGAAAAAGAACCUGAAACCGUGUACGUACAAGCAGUGGGAGCACGCUUAGGCGUGUGACUGCGUACCUUUUGUAUAAUGGGUCAGCGACUUAUAUUCUGUAGCAAGGUUAACCGAAUAGGGGAGCCGAAGGGAAACCGAGUCUUAACUGGGCGUUAAGUUGCAGGGUAUAGACCCGAAACCCGGUGAUCUAGCCAUGGGCAGGUUGAAGGUUGGGUAACACUAACUGGAGGACCGAACCGACUAAUGUUGAAAAAUUAGCGGAUGACUUGUGGCUGGGGGUGAAAGGCCAAUCAAACCGGGAGAUAGCUGGUUCUCCCCGAAAGCUAUUUAGGUAGCGCCUCGUGAAUUCAUCUCCGGGGGUAGAGCACUGUUUCGGCAAGGGGGUCAUCCCGACUUACCAACCCGAUGCAAACUGCGAAUACCGGAGAAUGUUAUCACGGGAGACACACGGCGGGUGCUAACGUCCGUCGUGAAGAGGGAAACAACCCAGACCGCCAGCUAAGGUCCCAAAGUCAUGGUUAAGUGGGAAACGAUGUGGGAAGGCCCAGACAGCCAGGAUGUUGGCUUAGAAGCAGCCAUCAUUUAAAGAAAGCGUAAUAGCUCACUGGUCGAGUCGGCCUGCGCGGAAGAUGUAACGGGGCUAAACCAUGCACCGAAGCUGCGGCAGCGACGCUUAUGCGUUGUUGGGUAGGGGAGCGUUCUGUAAGCCUGUGAAGGUGUGCUGUGAGGCAUGCUGGAGGUAUCAGAAGUGCGAAUGCUGACAUAAGUAACGAUAAAGCGGGUGAAAAGCCCGCUCGCCGGAAGACCAAGGGUUCCUGUCCAACGUUAAUCGGGGCAGGGUGAGUCGACCCCUAAGGCGAGGCCGAAAGGCGUAGUCGAUGGGAAACAGGUUAAUAUUCCUGUACUUGGUGUUACUGCGAAGGGGGGACGGAGAAGGCUAUGUUGGCCGGGCGACGGUUGUCCCGGUUUAAGCGUGUAGGCUGGUUUUCCAGGCAAAUCCGGAAAAUCAAGGCUGAGGCGUGAUGACGAGGCACUACGGUGCUGAAGCAACAAAUGCCCUGCUUCCAGGAAAAGCCUCUAAGCAUCAGGUAACAUCAAAUCGUACCCCAAACCGACACAGGUGGUCAGGUAGAGAAUACCAAGGCGCUUGAGAGAACUCGGGUGAAGGAACUAGGCAAAAUGGUGCCGUAACUUCGGGAGAAGGCACGCUGAUAUGUAGGUGAAGUCCCUCGCGGAUGGAGCUGAAAUCAGUCGAAGAUACCAGCUGGCUGCAACUGUUUAUUAAAAACACAGCACUGUGCAAACACGAAAGUGGACGUAUACGGUGUGACGCCUGCCCGGUGCCGGAAGGUUAAUUGAUGGGGUCAGCGCAAGCGAAGCUCUUGAUCGAAGCCCCGGUAAACGGCGGCCGUAACUAUAACGGUCCUAAGGUAGCGAAAUUCCUUGUCGGGUAAGUUCCGACCUGCACGAAUGGCGUAAUGAUGGCCAGGCUGUCUCCACCCGAGACUCAGUGAAAUUGAACUCGCUGUGAAGAUGCAGUGUACCCGCGGCAAGACGGAAAGACCCCGUGAACCUUUACUAUAGCUUGACACUGAACAUUGAGCCUUGAUGUGUAGGAUAGGUGGGAGGCUUUGAAGUGUGGACGCCAGUCUGCAUGGAGCCGACCUUGAAAUACCACCCUUUAAUGUUUGAUGUUCUAACGUUGACCCGUAAUCCGGGUUGCGGACAGUGUCUGGUGGGUAGUUUGACUGGGGCGGUCUCCUCCUAAAGAGUAACGGAGGAGCACGAAGGUUGGCUAAUCCUGGUCGGACAUCAGGAGGUUAGUGCAAUGGCAUAAGCCAGCUUGACUGCGAGCGUGACGGCGCGAGCAGGUGCGAAAGCAGGUCAUAGUGAUCCGGUGGUUCUGAAUGGAAGGGCCAUCGCUCAACGGAUAAAAGGUACUCCGGGGAUAACAGGCUGAUACCGCCCAAGAGUUCAUAUCGACGGCGGUGUUUGGCACCUCGAUGUCGGCUCAUCACAUCCUGGGGCUGAAGUAGGUCCCAAGGGUAUGGCUGUUCGCCAUUUAAAGUGGUACGCGAGCUGGGUUUAGAACGUCGUGAGACAGUUCGGUCCCUAUCUGCCGUGGGCGCUGGAGAACUGAGGGGGGCUGCUCCUAGUACGAGAGGACCGGAGUGGACGCAUCACUGGUGUUCGGGUUGUCAUGCCAAUGGCACUGCCCGGUAGCUAAAUGCGGAAGAGAUAAGUGCUGAAAGCAUCUAAGCACGAAACUUGCCCCGAGAUGAGUUCUCCCUGACCAUUUAAGGGUCCGGAAGGAACGUUGAAGACGACGACGUUGAUAGGCCGGG